AGACUGCAUCAGAUCCGUGCCUGAGGCCACCAAGGCUCGGGAUCCCCGCAUGGCUGGCCGACCGGACGCGGGUAUGCGUGAAGGCAGCCAGCAGCCAGGGGUCACUGCAGAACGGCUACGCGGGACACGGGAAAGCUUAACGCCAUCAGAGGCAAUUCUCCUGGGAUGCAGUGGAAUCGCUGAAGCUGACGGCGGGCAACCAGACUGAAGCUAGAUGGUGGAUAUGCAUUCAUGUGGUCAUCACAUGUCAUAGGCAGUUACCACUGCCAGGCCCCGUUCAGGUAGAUACAUCGCGUCCACCGUCCCUCAGAGCCUGUUAGUAGGAAGAGACAGUCACUCAACACACAGGGCAAUUCCAGCUGUGGUUCUUGUACAUCGACCACCCAGGAGUCACCGCGUAAGAAGCAAGCCCUUCCCCUGCCGCUCUCGGCCAUCUGCUGGGCAGCCACAAAGCAGCCACCACGCGUGAGCGCAUCUCCGUCCACGCUGGCCAGUCUGGGGC